rnacentral:rRNA from 1 species
GGGUUGUGAGGUUAAGCGACUAAGCGUACACGGUGGAUGCCCUGGCAGUCAGAGGCGAUGAAGGACGUGCUAAUCUGCGAUAAGCGUCGGUAAGGUGAUAUGAACCGUUAUAACCGGCGAUUUCCGAAUGGGGAAACCCAGUGUGAUUCGUCACACUAUCAUUAACUGAAUCCAUAGGUUAAUGAGGCGAACCGGGGGAACUGAAACAUCUAAGUACCCCGAGGAAAAGAAAUCAACCGAGAUUCCCCCAGUAGCGGCGAGCGAACGGGGAGCAGCCCAGAGCCUGAAUCAGUGUGUGUGUUAGUGGAAGCGUCUGGAAAGGCGCGCGAUACAGGGUGACAGCCCCGUACACAAAAAUGCACAUGCUGUGAGCUCGAUGAGUAGGGCGGGACACGUGGUAUCCUGUCUGAAUAUGGGGGGACCAUCCUCCAAGGCUAAAUACUCCUGACUGACCGAUAGUGAACCAGUACCGUGAGGGAAAGGCGAAAAGAACCCCGGCGAGGGGAGUGAAAAAGAACCUGAAACCGUGUACGUACAAGCAGUGGGAGCACAGAGCAAUCUGUGUGACUGCGUACCUUUUGUAUAAUGGGUCAGCGACUUAUAUUCUGUAGCAAGGUUAACCGAAUAGGGGAGCCGAAGGGAAACCGAGUCUUAACUGGGCGUUAAGUUGCAGGGUAUAGACCCGAAACCCGGUGAUCUAGCCAUGGGCAGGUUGAAGGUUGGGUAACACUAACUGGAGGACCGAACCGACUAAUGUUGAAAAAUUAGCGGAUGACUUGUGGCUGGGGGUGAAAGGCCAAUCAAACCGGGAGAUAGCUGGUUCUCCCCGAAAGCUAUUUAGGUAGCGCCUCGUGAAUUCAUCUCCGGGGGUAGAGCACUGUUUCGGCAAGGGGGUCAUCCCGACUUACCAACCCGAUGCAAACUGCGAAUACCGGAGAAUGUUAUCACGGGAGACACACGGCGGGUGCUAACGUCCGUCGUGAAGAGGGAAACAACCCAGACCGCCAGCUAAGGUCCCAAAGUCAUGGUUAAGUGGGAAACGAUGUGGGAAGGCCCAGACAGCCAGGAUGUUGGCUUAGAAGCAGCCAUCAUUUAAAGAAAGCGUAAUAGCUCACUGGUCGAGUCGGCCUGCGCGGAAGAUGUAACGGGGCUAAACCAUGCACCGAAGCUGCGGCAGCGACGCUUAUGCGUUGUUGGGUAGGGGAGCGUUCUGUAAGCCUGUGAAGGUGUGCUGUGAGGCAUGCUGGAGGUAUCAGAAGUGCGAAUGCUGACAUAAGUAACGAUAAAGCGGGUGAAAAGCCCGCUCGCCGGAAGACCAAGGGUUCCUGUCCAACGUUAAUCGGGGCAGGGUGAGUCGACCCCUAAGGCGAGGCCGAAAGGCGUAGUCGAUGGGAAACAGGUUAAUAUUCCUGUACUUGGUGUUACUGCGAAGGGGGGACGGAGAAGGCUAUGUUGGCCGGGCGACGGUUGUCCCGGUUUAAGCGUGUAGGCUGGUUUUCCAGGCAAAUCCGGAAAAUCAAGGCUGAGGCGUGAUGACGAGGCACUACGGUGCUGAAGCAACAAAUGCCCUGCUUCCAGGAAAAGCCUCUAAGCAUCAGGUAACAUCAAAUCGUACCCCAAACCGACACAGGUGGUCAGGUAGAGAAUACCAAGGCGCUUGAGAGAACUCGGGUGAAGGAACUAGGCAAAAUGGUGCCGUAACUUCGGGAGAAGGCACGCUGAUAUGUAGGUGAGGUCCCUCGCGGAUGGAGCUGAAAUCAGUCGAAGAUACCAGCUGGCUGCAACUGUUUAUUAAAAACACAGCACUGUGCAAACACGAAAGUGGACGUAUACGGUGUGACGCCUGCCCGGUGCCGGAAGGUUAAUUGAUGGGGUUAGCGGUAACGCGAAGCUCUUGAUCGAAGCCCCGGUAAACGGCGGCCGUAACUAUAACGGUCCUAAGGUAGCGAAAUUCCUUGUCGGGUAAGUUCCGACCUGCACGAAUGGCGUAAUGAUGGCCAGGCUGUCUCCACCCGAGACUCAGUGAAAUUGAACUCGCUGUGAAGAUGCAGUGUACCCGCGGCAAGACGGAAAGACCCCGUGAACCUUUACUAUAGCUUGACACUGAACAUUGAGCCUUGAUGUGUAGGAUAGGUGGGAGGCUUAGAAGUGUGGACGCCAGUCUGCAUGGAGCCGACCUUGAAAUACCACCCUUUAAUGUUUGAUGUUCUAACGUUGACCCGUAAUCCGGGUUGCGGACAGUGUCUGGUGGGUAGUUUGACUGGGGCGGUCUCCUCCUAAAGAGUAACGGAGGAGCACGAAGGUUGGCUAAUCCUGGUCGGACAUCAGGAGGUUAGUGCAAUGGCAUAAGCCAGCUUGACUGCGAGCGUGACGGCGCGAGCAGGUGCGAAAGCAGGUCAUAGUGAUCCGGUGGUUCUGAAUGGAAGGGCCAUCGCUCAACGGAUAAAAGGUACUCCGGGGAUAACAGGCUGAUACCGCCCAAGAGUUCAUAUCGACGGCGGUGUUUGGCACCUCGAUGUCGGCUCAUCACAUCCUGGGGCUGAAGUAGGUCCCAAGGGUAUGGCUGUUCGCCAUUUAAAGUGGUACGCGAGCUGGGUUUAGAACGUCGUGAGACAGUUCGGUCCCUAUCUGCCGUGGGCGCUGGAGAACUGAGGGGGGCUGCUCCUAGUACGAGAGGACCGGAGUGGACGCAUCACUGGUGUUCGGGUUGUCAUGCCAAUGGCACUGCCCGGUAGCUAAAUGCGGAAGAGAUAAGUGCUGAAAGCAUCUAAGCACGAAACUUGCCCCGAGAUGAGUUCUCCCUGACUCCUUGAGAGUCCUGAAGGAACGUUGAAGACGACGACGUUGAUAGGCCGGGUGUGUAAGCGCAGCGAUGCGUUGAGCUAACCGGUACUAAUGAACCGUGAGGCUUAACCUUACAACGCCGAAGCUGUU